UCCGUCUUGUCAACGGCAGUCUCAACAGAGUUCCCGGCAUUACCCGAUGGCAACUGUUGAUAAGGGUUGCGCUCGUUGCGGGACUUAACCCAACAUCUCACGACACGAGCUGACGACAGCCAUGCAGCACCUUGCACUCUGUCUGGUUUUACCCAAAAGGCUCCAUCUCUGGAGUUGUCAGAGGCAUUCUAGCCCAGGUAAGGUUCUUCGCGUUGCGUCGAAUUAAACCACAUCAUCCA
rnacentral:misc_RNA from 1 species